ACGUCAAGUACUCAUCCGUAUUAAGGAUAAGCCUUCCUCCCUACUGAAAGUGCUUUACAACCGAAGGCCUUCUUCACACACGCGGCAUGGCUGGAUCAGGGUUGCCCCCCAUUGUCCAAGAUUCCCC
rnacentral:rRNA from 1 species